rnacentral:sRNA from 1 species
AGGAAGGUAGUGACGUCAUAGGUAAACAGGCUCUGUAUCCGUGGCAGCGGCCGUGGCAGGCUGGCUGGGUACCGGCUGCCGCUGACCCAGGAGAAGCUGCCUGUCUACAUCAGCCUGGGCUGCAGCGCGCUGCCGCCGCGGGGCCGGCAGCCAUGGCCAAGGACAUCCUGGGUGAAGCAGGGCUACACUUUGAUGAACUGAACAAGCUGAGGGUGUUGGACCCAGAGGUUACCCAGCAGACCAUAGAGCUGAAGGAAGAGUGCAAAGACUUUGUGGACAGUGAGUAUUGGGGAGAUACAGUGCCACUCAGCUUUGAGCUGCCAUUUCAACUGUACCCCAGGCUCAUCUUGGCCCUGCCACAGUGGAGCUGCUGGCUCCCUGGAGGUUGAAUCUGGCGUCUGUGAGUUCCCACGUGCUACCCUUUUCUGUCUGCCCUCUUGUGCUCUCAUGUGUCCCCAACAGGGCACCAGUCAAACCAAACACUGGGAUGGGGAGGGGAGGGUGUUUUUAGAUAUGCCAUCUUUCAUUUCUUGCUCUUAGAAACCUUAAACUUUCUGGGAACACAACCAUGGCUUGGGUGUGGGAAAUAGAAUUAUGUACUCAUGAUUUGAUUUCUUCAGAGAAAGUCUUCUCAGUGGCAGGUUCUCUGUUAUCUGGAGUUAGAAGUGAUAGGUGAAGUUUCUAGAAGCAGCUCAACAGACUUACUGAAGUCAUCUUUUGGCUGGAAAUCUUCAGGAAGCCUCCUGUCCCAG